CACUGUUUGAUCAGAUCUAACAAUGAGAAUUGCCAGACUGGAAAAGAGUGGAAGGAUAGUUCAAGAGCAGUUUGUAAUAAAAGGCUUAGAAAGGUAUUCAGAAAAGAAAGAGAAGCAGAACUUAGAAAAUAAAACUGCGUUUGAAAGAAUCAGAUGGAAGAACGAUACAUCCAUAACCCAAGCUAUUUUCACAGUAAUAUACCUACAUAAGCAGAGUAUUUGUUCUCAGUGAAGUUAAUAAUAUGAAGUAAUGUAGAAAGAGUCAGUGCAGACCUUUUGGAAUUGGUAGAGUACAAGUAAUCAAGACUGUUAAUCUGCAAGCUUGCAAAAGGUCAUUGAACGAGAAAAAACUCUUUGAC